AGUGAACGCUGGCGGUAGGCCUAACACAUGCAGGUCGAACGGCAGCACAGUAAGAGCUUGCUCUUACGGGUGGCGAGUGGCGGACGGGUGAGGAAUACAUCGGAAUCUACUUUUUCGUGGGGGAUAACGUAGGGAAACUUACGCUAAUACCGCAUACGACCUACGGGUGAAAGCAGGGGAUCUUCGGACCUUGCGCGAUUGAAUGAGCCGAUGUCGGAUUAGCUAGUUGGCGGGGUAAAGGCCCACCAAGGCGACGAUCCGUAGCUGGUCUGAGAGGAUGGUCGGCCACACUGGAACUGAGACACGGUCCAGACUCCUACGGGAGGCAGCAGUGGGGAAUAUUGGACAAUGGGCGCAAGCCUGAUCCAGCCAUACCGCGUGGGUGGAGAAGGCCUUCGGGUUGUAAAGCCCUUUUGUUGGGAAAGAAAAGCAGCAGGUUAAUACCCCGCUGUUCUGACGGUACCCAAAGAAUAAGCACCGGCUAACUUCGUG
rnacentral:rRNA from 1 species